rnacentral:tRNA from 1 species
CGGGGUGUAGCUCAGUUGGCUAGAGCGCUUGGUUCGGGACCAAGAGGCCGCAGGUUCAAGUCCUGUCACCCCGA